rnacentral:rRNA from 1 species
GACGAACGCUGGCGGCGCGCCUAAUGCAUGCAAGUCGAGCGACGCAUACUCGGUGGGUAACCACUGGGUAUGACGGAGCGGCGAACGGGCGAGUAACACGUGAGUAACCUGCCCCGAAGACCGGGAUAGCCCGGGGAAACCCGGAUUAAUACCGGAUACCCUCUCUGGAUCGCAUGGUCCGGUGAGGAAAGGCCUUUGUGCUUCGGGAUGGACUCGCGGCCUAUCAGCUUGUUGGUGAGGUAACGGCUCACCAAGGCUACGACGGGUAGCUGGUCUGAGAGGACGAUCAGCCACACUGGGACUGAGACACGGCCCAGACUCCUACGGGAGGCAGCAGCAGGGAAUCUUGUCCAAUGGGCGAAAGCCUGAGACAGCGACGCCGCGUGAGGGAUGAAGGCCUUCGGGUUGUAAACCUCUUUCAGGAGGGACGAAAUUGACGGUACCUCCAGAAGAAGCCCCGGCCAACUACGUG